UCUAUAGGUGUGUGUGUGUGUGUGUGUGUGUGUGUACACACACACACACACACACACACACACCCCUCUUUGAGU